UUAAGCGACUAAGCGUACACGGUGGAUGCCCUGGCAGUCAGAGGCGAUGAAGGACGUGCUAAUCUGCGAAAAGCGUCGGUAAGGUGAUAUGAACCGUUAUAGCCGGCGAUGUCCGAAUGGGGAAACCCAGUGCAAUUCGUUGCACUAUCGUUAACUGAAUACAUAGGUUAACGAGGCGAACCGGGGGAACUGAAACAUCUAAGUACCCCGAGGAAAAGAAAUCAACCGAGAUUCCCCCAGUAGCGGCGAGCGAACGGGGAGCAGCCCAGAGUCUGAAUCAGCUUGUGUGUUAGUGGAACGGUCUGGAAAGUCCGACGGUACAGGGUGAUAGUCCCGUACACCAAAAUGCACAGGCUGUGAACUCGAAGAGUAGGGCGGGACACGUGGUAUCCUGUCUGAAUAUGGGGGGACCAUCCUCCAAGGCUAAAUACUCCUGACUGACCGAUAGUGAACCAGUACCGUGAGGGAAAGGCGAAAAGAACCCCGGCGAGGGGAGUGAAAAAGAACCUGAAACCGUGUACGUACAAGCAGUGGGAGCACCUUCGGGUGUGACUGCGUACCUUUUGUAUAAUGGGUCAGCGACUUAUAUUCUGUAGCAAGGUUAACCGUAUAGGGGAGCCGCAGGGAAACCGAGUCUUAACUGGGCGUUAAGUUGCAGGGUAUAGACCCGAAACCCGGUGAUCUAGCCAUGGGCAGGUUGAAGGUUGGGUAACACUAACUGGAGGACCGAACCGACUAAUGUUGAAAAAUUAGCGGAUGACUUGUGGCUGGGGGUGAAAGGCCAAUCAAACCGGGAGAUAGCUGGUUCUCCCCGAAAGCUAUUUAGGUAGCGCCUCGUGAACUCAUCUUCGGGGGUAGAGCACUGUUUCGGCUAGGGGGUCAUCCCGACUUACCAACCCGAUGCAAACUACGAAUACCGAAGAAUGUUAUCACGGGAGACACACGGCGGGUGCUAACGUCCGUCGUGAAGAGGGAAACAACCCAGACCGCCAGCUAAGGUCCCAAAGUCAUGGUUAAGUGGGAAACGAUGUGGGAAGGCACAGACAGCCAGGAUGUUGGCUUAGAAGCAGCCAUCAUUUAAAGAAAGCGUAAUAGCUCACUGGUCGAGUCGGCCUGCGCGGAAGAUGUAACGGGGCUAAACCAUGCACCGAAGCUGCGGCAGCGACACUAUGUGUUGUUGGGUAGGGGAGCGUUCUGUAAGCCUGCGAAGGUGACCUGUGAGGGUUGCUGGAGGUAUCAGAAGUGCGAAUGCUGACAUAAGUAACGAUAAAGCGGGUGAAAAGCCCGCUCGCCGGAAGACCAAGGGUUCCUGUCCAACGUUAAUCGGGGCAGGGUGAGUCGACCCCUAAGGCGAGGCCGAAAGGCGUAGUCGAUGGGAAACAGGUUAAUAUUCCUGUACUUGGUGUUACUGCGAAGGGGGGACGGAGAAGGCUAUGUUAGCCGGGCGACGGUUGUCCCGGUUUAAGCAUGUAGGCUGGUUAUCCAGGCAAAUCCGGAUAAUCAAGGCUGAGGUGUGAUGACGAGGCACUACGGUGCUGAAGUAACAAAUGCCCUGCUUCCAGGAAAAGCCUCUAAGCAUCAGGUAACAUUAAAUCGUACCCCAAACCGACACAGGUAGUCAGGUAGAGAAUACCAAGGCGCUUGAGAGAACUCGGGUGAAGGAACUAGGCAAAAUGGUGCCGUAACUUCGGGAGAAGGCACGCUGGUGUGUAGGUGAAGUCCCUGCGGAUGGAGCUGAGACCAGUCGAAGAUACCAGCUGGCUGCAACUGUUUAUUAAAAACACAGCACUGUGCAAACACGAAAGUGGACGUAUACGGUGUGACGCCUGCCCGGUGCCGGAAGGUUAAUUGAUGGGGUUAUCCGUAAGGAGAAGCUCUUGAUCGAAGCCCCGGUAAACGGCGGCCGUAACUAUAACGGUCCUAAGGUAGCGAAAUUCCUUGUCGGGUAAGUUCCGACCUGCACGAAUGGCGUAAUGAUGGCCAGGCUGUCUCCACCCGAGACUCAGUGAAAUUGAACUCGCUGUGAAGAUGCAGUGUACCCGCGGCAAGACGGAAAGACCCCGUGAACCUUUACUAUAGCUUGACACUGAACAUUGAGCCUUGAUGUGUAGGAUAGGUGGGAGGCUUUGAAGCGUGGACGCCAGUCUGCGUGGAGCCGACCUUGAAAUACCACCCUUUAAUGUUUGAUGUUCUAACGUUGGCCCCUUACCGGGGUUGCGGACAGUGUCUGGUGGGUAGUUUGACUGGGGCGGUCUCCUCCCAAAGCGUAACGGAGGAGCACGAAGGUUAGCUAAUCCUGGUCGGACAUCAGGAGGUUAGUGCAAUGGCAUAAGCUAGCUUGACUGCGAGCGUGACGGCGCGAGCAGGUGCGAAAGCAGGUCAUAGUGAUCCGGUGGUUCUGAAUGGAAGGGCCAUCGCUCAACGGAUAAAAGGUACUCCGGGGAUAACAGGCUGAUACCGCCCAAGAGUUCAUAUCGACGGCGGUGUUUGGCACCUCGAUGUCGGCUCAUCACAUCCUGGGGCUGAAGUAGGUCCCAAGGGUAUGGCUGUUCGCCAUUUAAAGUGGUACGCGAGCUGGGUUUAGAACGUCGUGAGACAGUUCGGUCCCUAUCUGCCGUGGGCGCUGGAGAAUUGAGGGGGGCUGCUCCUAGUACGAGAGGACCGGAGUGGACGCAUCACUGGUGUUCGGGUUGUCAUGCCAAUGGCACUGCCCGGUAGCUAAAUGCGGAAGAGAUAAGUGCUGAAAGCAUCUAAGCACGAAACUUGCCCCGAGAUGAGUUCUCCCUGAGACUUUAAGUCUCCUGAAGGAACGUUAAAGACGAUGACGUUGAUAGGCCGGGUGUGUAAGCGCAGCGAUGCGUUGAGCUAACCGGUACUAAUGAACCGUGAGGCUUAACCUU
rnacentral:rRNA from 1 species